rnacentral:rRNA from 1 species
AGAGUUUGAUCAUGGCUCAGAGCGAACGCUGGCGGCAGGCCUAACACAUGCAAGUCGAGCGCCCGUAGCAAUACGGGAGCGGCAGACGGGUGAGUAACACGUGGGAACGUACCCUUCGGUUCGGAAUAACCCAGGGAAACUUGGAUUAAUACCGGAUACGUCCGUAAGGAGAAAGAUUUAUCGCCGAAGGAUCGGCCCGCGUCCGAUUAGCUUGUUGGUGGGGUAAUGGCCCACCAAGGCUACGAUCGGUAGCUGGUCUGAGAGGAUGAUCAGCCACACUGGGACUGAGACACGGCCCAGACUCCUACGGGAGGCAGCAGUGGGGAAUAUUGGACAAUGGGCGCAAGCCUGAUCCAGCCAUGCCGCGUGAGUGAUGAAAGGCCCUAGGGUUGUAAAGCUCUUUCGGCGGGGAAGAUAAUGACGGUACCCGCAGAAGAAGCCCCGGCUAACUUCGUGCCAGCAGCCGCGGUA